AGUGAACGCUGGCGGCGUGCUUAACACAUGCAAGUCGAACGAGAACGGAUUAUAGCUUGCUAUAAUUGUCAGCUAAGUGGCGCACGGGUGAGUAAUGUAUAGGUAAUAUGCCUCUUACUAAGGGAUAACAAAUGGAAACGUUUGCUAAUACCUUAUACUCCUUAUUAACAGAAGUUAAUAAGGGAAAGAUUUAUUGGUAAGAGAUUAGCCUGUAUUGUAUCAGUUAGUUGGUGGGGUAAUGGCUUACCAAGACUAUGACACAUAACUGGUUUGAGGGGAUGGUCAGUCACACGGGAACUGAGACACGGUCCAGACCCCUACGGGAGGCAGCAGUGGGGAAUAUUGCACAAUGGACGAAAGUCUGAUGCAGCAACGCCGCGUGGAGGAUGACACAUUUCGGUGCGUAAACCCCUUUUAUAUGAGAAGAUAAUGACGGUAUUAUAUGAAUAAGCACCGGCUAACUCCGUGCCAGCCCCCGCGGUAA
rnacentral:rRNA from 1 species